CAGUCGCCACGGUAAUACGGAGGGGGCUAGCGUUGUUCGGAAUUACUGGGCGUAAAGCGCACGUAGGCGGCUUGGUAAGUUAGAGGUGAAAGCCCGGAGCUCAACUCCGGAAUUGCCUUUAAGACUGCCGAGCUAGUAGGUGAGAGAGGUAAGUGGAAUUCCGAGUGUAGAGGUGAAGUUCGUAGAUAUUCGGAAGAACACCAGUGGCGAAGGCGGCUUACUGGCUCAUUCUAGACGCUGAGGUGCGAAAGCGUGGGGAGCAAACAGGAUUAGAUACCCCCGUAGUCCCUGUCUCUUAUAC
rnacentral:rRNA from 1 species